AGUGAACGCUGGCGGUAGGCCUAACACAUGCAAGUCGAACGGCAGCACAGUAAGAGCUUGCUCUUACGGGUGGCGAGUGGCGGACGGGUGAGGAAUACAUCGGAAUCUACUUUUUCGUGGGGGAUAACGUAGGGAAACUUACGCUAAUACAGCAUACGACCUACGGGUGAAAGCAGGGGAUCUUCGGACCUUGCGCGAUUGAAUGAGCCGAUGUCGGAUUGGCUAGUUGGCGGGGUAAAGGCCCACCAAGGCGACGAUCGGUAGCUGGUCUGAGAGGAUGAUCGGCCACACUGGAACUUAGACACGGUCCAUACUCCUACGGGAGGCAGCAGUGUGGAAUGUUGGACAAUGGGCGCAAGCCUUAUCCAGCCAUACCGCGUGGGUGAAGAAGGCCUUCGGGUCGGAAAGCCCUUUUGUGGGGAAAGAAAAGCAGCAGGUUAAUACCCCGCGGUUCUGACGGUACCCAAUGAAUAAGCACCGGCUAACUUCGUG
rnacentral:rRNA from 1 species